GGGUCGGUAGCUCAGCGGUAGAGCAUUCGGCUUUUAACCGACUGGUCGAGGGUUCGAAUCCCUCCCGACCCA
rnacentral:tRNA from 2 species